AGACGUCUACAUUAGGUACCCGGGUAGUCCCAGCCGUAAACUAUGCGCGUUAGGUGUAUCGGUGACCACGAGUUACCGAGGUGCCGAAGGGAAACCGUGAAACGUGCCGCCUGGGAAGUACGGUCGCAAGGCUGAAACUUAAAGGAAUUGGCGGGGAGCACCACAACAGGUGGAGCCUGCGGUUUAAUUGGACUCAACGCCGGGAAGCUCACCGGAUAGGACAGCAGAAUGAUUGCCGGGCUGAAGACCCUGCAUGACUAGCUG
rnacentral:rRNA from 1 species